rnacentral:lncRNA from 1 species
AAGAACCCUGCAGAAAAACCUAGAGAAAUUCAGAGAGAAAGAGAGAAAGAAGAACAGAAAAAUCAGUGAGAAAAAUCAGGAAAAAAAAAAAAAAAUUGGUGGGGACCUAAUCUUCAACCUUAGCUCAGUUUGUUACCUUGAUAAAGAUCAGAAGGUGAGAUUUUUAAAUAAAACCGUAGACCUAGUUGAGUUCUGAUCAUGAUCAGACCUUGAUCUUUCUCUUUGAUCAGUCCAGCCACAAGCUUACCUUGGAGAAGAGGAUCAGCUGAGGCCAUCUAGUCCUUUGGUUCAUCUUUGUAAGCUUUGGUCUCUUACCUCAGUCAUGUCUUGAUCAGAGCUAGUUGAUGUUUACAUAAGAACUUGGUCGGAUCAGUUCUCUAAGUGGUGAUAUUGUUUAGAUUUUGAUUAAUUUCGGUUUGAAUCAACCUCUUAGAAUCACCAGCUAUGAUGUUUUGAUCUGGCCUUGAGUAAACCGAUUUGAACUCAGUCUGAUCUUGUCCUGAACUUUGGUAGACUGACUAGAACCGAGCUGAACUUGUAUAGUCUGAGCAGAACCAAGCUUGAACUGAUCUGAUCUAAGGUGUUAAGGCAUGAACCGAACUGAUCUU